CACGUAGGGGCCAAGCGUUGUCCGGAUUUAUUGGGCGUAAAGAGCGUGUAGGCGGCCGCACAGGUCCGUUGUGAAAACUGGAGGCUUAACCUUCAGACGUCGAUGGAAACCGUGCGGCUAGAGUCCGGAAGAGGAGAGUGGAAUUCCUGGUGUAGCGGUGAAAUGCGCAGAUAUCAGGAAGAACACCCGUGGCGAAGGCGGCUCUCUGGGACGGUACUGACGCUGAGACGCGAAAGCGUGGGGAGCGAACAGG
rnacentral:rRNA from 1 species